UAAGUUAAAGGGCGGCACGGUGGAUGGCCUUCGACACUAGGAGUCGAUGAGGACGGGAGCUAACGCGCGCGAUAUGCUUCGGGGAGCCUGUAAGCUAAGCUCUUGAUCCGAAGAUGUCGACAUGGGGAAACGCACCAUAUCGUAAAUGGCUAUGGUAUUCCUUAUCUGAAUUACAUAGGGGUAAGGCAAGACAGACCCAGGGAAACUCGAAGAGCAUCUAUAAGUACCUGCGGAGGAAGAGAAAGCCAAAUGCGAUUCUCUUGGUGACGCUUAGCGGCGCGCGGCGAAACCGGAAACAUAGGGCCCAAACCAAGAGGGCCUUGCUCCUCUUGGGUUGUAGCGAGCAUUUUCUAUACGGGAGUUUACAUAAGGAAGCGAGGUUAGAACCGAAGGCCGACCCUGGAAAGGUCCGUCGUGCGCUAGACGGGUACCACCCCCGUAGGGUCGGAAACUUCGUUCUCUCUUGCAAUGUAUCCUGAGUAUACGGGCGGAACACGCUGAAAUUCCGGUCGGAAUCUGGGCCGAGCGACGCAUCUCCCAAGGCUAAAUAACUCCCUAGCUGACUCGAUAGUGACUACCAGCUAGCCGCUGCAGGGGAAAGGGGUGAAAAGCGCACCCCCUGGAAGGGCGGCGGGUGAAAGCGAGAUGCCUGAAAACCGUGUGCCUACAAAUAGUCUGUGGGGGGCCCGCGUUAAGGGGGUGGAUUGGCCGUUGCCUUUUUGUAGAAUGAACCCGGCGAGUUUGCGAUCCCGGCUGCCGAGGCUUAACAGCUGCAAGACGGCCCGGAGCCCGCAGCGCGAGGCGAGUCGUGAAUAGGGCGUUCUAGUAACGUUGCGUCGGUAGACCCGACAACCCAGGCCUGGCUCCUAGCCCCUUGUGCAGGGGGCUGAAGAUUCAGGUAACACUGAAACUAGGAGGCCCGAACUGCCACGCCACGCACGUUUGGACAACGUGCGGGGCGAUCGUGGUGUGGUGUAGCGGGAGAAAAUUCCAAUCGGACCUGGAGCGAUAGCCUGGUCUGCUGCCCCGAAAUAGGCUUUUUAGCGGCUCAGCCUUAAGUGUAACGAUUCUUGGAGGCGUAGACGGCAGGCUGAUUUGGACUUAGGGGGUCCUCAUCCGGAUUACCCGAAUUUCAGGCUCAAACUCCGAUUCGCAAUGACCUUAUCCCUUAGGCGGUCAGAGCUGGGCGAGUGAUGAAGAUCCGUAGUCAAGAAGCGUCGAAACAGGCCCCGAGGCGCUGCCAGCUAAGGCUCGCCAAGGUGUGUAAUUAAGGUGGAAAACACGGAUGUGGAGUUGGCUUAGACGAAUCCUAGGAGUGUUGGACUUAGAAGCGCAGCCACCGAUUUUCAAAGAUUGCGUAACUAGCCUCGACUAGUCGAGUGGACUCUGCGGCCCGAAAAUGCUACGCGCUGGGGGCCUUAACUACACCCACCACCGAAGCCUGCGGAUUGAAUAGCCAAUGGUAUCAGUGGUAGGGGGGAGCGUUCUCAAGCGAGCAGUGGCGCUCAGACCGGAAGCGGACUUGGUGGGAGCUGCUUUAGAAAGCUGAGACGACUCGCCGGUCAUGAGUCACGCGCCGAACAGACGCGGGUGAGACAUCCCCGUGCCACCGGAAUGCCCCUAAAGGUUUUCCUGCAGGAAGGGCUCGUCCGCGCUCAGGGUUAUGCAGGACCUAAGCCGGAGGCCGACAGGCGUAGGCGAUGGACAACAGGGUUGAUAUUCCUGUACCACCGUCUUUAUCGGUUUGAGCCAAUGGAGGCGACGCAGAAUGGAUAGAAGAGCGCUGGCGAUUGGUUGUGUCCUACGUCCAAGCAGUUAGGCUGUAUAAGUAGCGGAAAUGCCGCUUAUUUCGUUGAAGGCUGAGCUGUGAUGGGGCGAAGCGUCCUUAUGGAGCGAAGUCGUUUGAUUCCCCCGCUGCCACCAAGAAAAGCUUUCUAGCGAGGAUAAAAGGUCCCUGUACGGCAAACCGACACAGGUAGCGCGAGGAGAGAAUCCUAAGGGUGUCGGAGAGAACUCUGGGUUUAAGGGAGCUCGGCAAAAUGACCCCGUAAACUUCGGGGGAGAAGGGGGUGCUUUUCUUAACGGGAAAGCCUGCAGUGAAUAGGGCCCAAGCGCGACUGUUUUAGCAAAACACAGCUCUCUGCGAAGCCGGUAAGGCGAAGUAUAGGGGGUGACACCUGCCCGGUGCUGGAAGGUUUAAGGAGAGGGGUUAGCGGUAAGCGAAGCUCUGAACUGACGAGCGCCCAGUAAACCGCGGGGCCGUAACUUAUAACGGGUCCCUGAAGGUUAGCGAAAUUCCUUGUCGGGGUAAGUUCCGACCCCGCACGAAAGGUGUAACGAUUUGGGGCACUGUCUCAACGCAGAGACUCAGGGUGAAAUUAUAGUACCUGUGAAGGAUGCAGGUUACCCGCGACAGGACGGAAAGACUCCCGUGGAGCUUUACUGUAGCCUGAUAUUUGAAUUUUUGGUUACAGUUUGGUACAGGAUAGGCGGGAGCCUUUGAAACCGGGAGCCGCUACGCUUCGGUGGAGGCGGCUGGUGGGAUACCGCCCUGACUGAUAUUGAAAUUCUAACUACGGUGUCUUAUCGACCCGGGAGACAGUGUGUAGGUGGGCAGUUUGACUGGGGCGGUCGCCUCCUAAAGUGUAACGGAGGGCGCCAAAGGUUUCCUCAGAAUGGUUGGUAAAUCAUUCGUAGUAGUGCAAAGGCAUAAGGGAUGCUUGAACUGCGAGAACCUACAAGUCGAGCAGGGGACGAAAGUCGGGCCUUAGUGAUCCGGCUGGUUCCGCAUGGAAGGGCCUCGGCUCAACCGGAUAGCAAAGCUACCCCGGGGAUUAACAGGGCUUAUUCUCCCCCCAAGAGUUCCACAAUCGGACGGGGGAGGUCUUUGAGCACCUCGGAUGUCGGCUCAUCGCAUCAACUGGGGCCUGCUAGUCGGCUCACCAAGGGUUGGGCUGUUCGCCCAUCGUAACAGCGGUUGACGGCGAGCUGGGUUCAGAACGUUCGGUCGAGGACGCAGUUUCGGUCCUAUUCCGUGGUCGCACCUCUGGUCGCACGGUUAGGAAAUUUUUGACCGCCCGAGGAGGCUGUCACUAUAGUACGAGAGUGCCGGCGGAGUGGACGCUACGGGCACUGGUGUACACAAGUUGUUCUGCCAAGGGCAUAGCUGGGUAGCUAUGUGCGGAAGGGAGUAAGUGCCUGAAAGCAUCCUAAUGCCAUGAAGGGCCCCUCUCAAGUAUGAUGUAAUUUUCUCCCAUUGUCGUAAGCUACGUAAGAUCUCUGGAGUUAAGUCUAUUGAUCAGUGUUUGAUAGGUUCUGAUUCCGGGUCCGGAAGCGAGCUGGUUACAUGAUGGAAGCUGACGAAUUACUAAUAGAUCGAGGACUUAACCA
rnacentral:rRNA from 1 species